CACGGAGUUAGCCGGUGCUUAUUCACAAGGUACCGUCAAGCUCAGUACGCGUACUGAUUGUUCUUCCCUUAUAAAAGCCGUUUACAACGCUGAGCGCCUUCUUCCGGCACGCGGCGUGGCUGGGUCAGCGUUUCCGCCAUUGCCCAAUAUUCCCUACUGCUGCCUCCCGUAGGAGUCUGGCCCGUAUCUCAGUGCCAGUGUGGGGGAUCUUCCUCUCAGAACCCCCUACUGAUCAUCGCCUUGGUAGUCCCUUACACUACCAACUAGCUAAUCAGACGGGCAGGCCCAUCUUUACCAAUGAAUCUUUACCAGUUGCUUGAUGCCAAACUGCUGGCUUAUGCGGUAUUAGCGAUGGUUCCCAUCGUUACUCCCCCAGUAAAGGCAGGUUGCCUACGCGUUACGCACCCGUGCGCCACUAGACUGACCAUUGCUGGUCAAUCUCGUUCGACUUGCAUGUAUUACGGCCCCGCCGCUAGCGUUCACUCCUGACGCCGAGGACUACUAAA
rnacentral:rRNA from 1 species